rnacentral:rRNA from 1 species
GACGAACGCUGGCGGCGUGCUUAACACAUGCAAGUCGAACGGUGAAGCGAGUGCCUGCCCUCGUGGAUCAGUGGCGAACGGGUGAGUAACACGUGAGUAACCUGCCCAUCACUCUGGGAUAAGCACUGGAAACGGUGUCUAAUACUGGAUACGACCAACCCUUGCAUGGGGUGUUGGUGGAAAGAUUUAUCGGUGAUGGAUGGACUCGCGGCCUAUCAGCUUGUUGGCGGGGUAAUGGCCCACCAAGGCGACGACGGGUAGCCGGCCUGAGAGGGUGACCGGCCACACUGGGACUGAGACACGGCCCAGACUCCUACGGGAGGCAGCAGUGGGGAAUAUUGCACAAUGGGCGAAAGCCUGAUGCAGCGACGCCGCGUGAGGGAUGACGGCCUUCGGGUUGUAAACCUCUUUCAGCAGGGAAGAAGCGAAAGUGACGGUACCUGCGGAAGAAGCACCGGCUAACUACGUG